rnacentral:rRNA from 1 species
GCGGACGGCUCAUUAAAUCAGUUAUCGUUUAUUUGAUAGCACCUACUACAUGGAUAACUGUGGUAAUUCUAGAGCUAAUACAUGCUAAAAAUCCCGACUUCGGAAGGGAUGUAUUUAUUAGAUUAAAAACCAAUGCCCUUCGGGGCUCUCUGGUGAUUCAUAAUAACUGCUCGAAUCGCAUGGCCUUGCGCCGGCGAUGGCUCAUUCAAAUUUCUGCCCUAUCAACUUUCGACGGCUGGGUCUUGGCCAGCCAUGGUGACAACGGGUAACGGAGGGUUAGGGCUCGACCCCGGAGAAGGAGCCUGAGAGACGGCUACUACAUCCAAGGAAGGCAGCAGGCGCGCAAAUUACCCAAUCCCAAUUCGGGGAGGUAGUGACAAUAAAUACUGAUACAGGGCUCUUUUGGGUCUUGUAAUCGGAAUGAGAACAAUUUAAAUCCCUUAACGAGGAACAAUUGGAGGGCAAGUCUGGUGCCAGCAGCCGCGGUAAUUCCAGCUCCAAUAGCGUAUAUUAAAGUUGUUGCAGUUAAAAAGCUCGUAGUUGAACCUUGGGCCUGGCUGGCCGGUCCGCCUCACCGCGUGCACUGGUCCGGCCGGGCCUUUCCCUCUGGGGAGCCGCAUGCCCUUCACUGGGCGUGUCGGGGAACCAGGACUUUUACUGUGAAAAAAUUAGAGUGUUCAAAGCAGGCCUAUGCUCGAAUACAUUAGCAUGGAAUAAUAGAAUAGGACGUGUGGUUCUAUUUUGUUGGUUUCUAGGACCGCCGUAAUGAUUAAUAGGGACAGUCGGGGGCGUCAGUAUUCAAUUGUCAGAGGUGAAAUUCUUGGAUUUAUUGAAGACUAACUGCUGCGAAAGCGUUCGCCAAGGAUGUUUUCAUUAAUCAGGAACGAAAGUUAGGGGAUCGAAGACGAUCAGAUACCGUCGUAGUCUUAACCAUAAACUAUGCCGACUCGGGAUCGGACGAUGUUAUUUUUUGACUCGUUCGGCACCGUAUACGAAAGUAAAG